UCCCUNGACGCCGGCGGCNCNCUUAACCAUGCCNGUCAAGGAGAACUUUUCUUCGGAGAAUUAUUAAACUGGCGAACGGGUGAGUAACACGUAGGUAAUCUACCUUAGAGAUUGGGAUAACUCGGCGAAAGCCGGACUAAUACCGAAUAAUACAACGUAUCCCUUGGGAUAUGCUGUUAAAGUGGGCUUCGGCUCACACUUUGAGAUGAGCCUGCGUCCGAUUAGCUUGUUGGUGGGGUAAUGGCCUACCAAGGCGAUGAUCGGUAGCUGGUCUGAGAGGACGAUCAGCCACACUGGAAUUGAGAUACGGUCCAGACUCCUACGGGAGGCAGCAGGGGGGAAUUUUGCGCAAUGGGCGAAAGCCUGACGCAGCAACGCCGCGUGAUCGAUGAAGCUCCUCGGAGUGUAAAGAUCUGUCAUAAGGGAAGAACACUUUAAUAUAAAUAAUAUUANAAUUUGACGGUCCUUAUAANAAACCCGCUAACUUAUGCCACCANCCGCGUAUACUAGGGGUGCAGCGUUGCCGGAUCNUGGGCGUAAAGGGGCUANGCGUCNGGAAAUUNUUUGUAAACCUCGCUUANCGGAAAUCNGUAACUUUUGGNUAAUUAAAAAGAANGGAUCCUGGGNCGNAN
rnacentral:rRNA from 1 species